ensembl:lncRNA
CCAGCUCCCGGAUUUGCUGAGCCUUUCUGCCACGUAGCUUCAACUUGUCUUGUAUUAUAUCUUGCCACUGGGGACUCUUUCAGAAUGAUAGCCUUCAGUUAUCGUGUGGUGUUCUGCGCAGUGGGUCGGAUCGUGAAGGAUGUGGCAGCGGCUAUCUGGGACACAAUGGUCAAUGAGGAUGGAAUGUUAACAGAGAAGGACGAAGAAAGGGCAACUCUUGCAGAUAAGAAGAGUGAUGUCUUUCCUAACAUGCAAGAGGGAGAAGGACAUGGAAGUGCUCAGUGUUCAACAAAACCAGAAGACUUGCU